GUUUCUUUUCUAAAGACUAAUAAUAGGCCUGAUCCUGUCUGAUCUUGGAAGAUAAGCAGGGUCUGGUCUGGUUAGUACUUGGAUGGGAGACCAUGUAGGAAGACCAAAUGCUAUAGGCG
rnacentral:rRNA from 1 species